GAUGAACGCUAGCGGCAGGCCUAACACAUGCAAGUCGAGGGGCAGCAUACCCGGUGACGGGUGAUGGCGACCGGCGUAAGGGUGAGUAACGCGUGAGCAACAUACCCGUAUCAGUGGGAUAAUACAGGGAAACUUGUUCUAAUAUCACAUAAUAUUAUACAGAGGCAUCUUUGUAUAAUUAAAGUUCAGGCGGAUACGGAAUGGCUCGCGUGACAUUAGCUAGAUGGUAGGGUAAAGGCCUACCAUGGCUAUGAUGUCUAGGGGUUCUGAGAGGGAGGUCCCCCACACUGGAACUGAGACACGGUCCAGACUCCUACGGGAGGCAGCAGUGAGGAAUAUUGGACAAUGGAUGAAAAUCUGAUCCAGCCAUGCCGCGUGCAGGAAGGCGGCCCUAUGGGUUGUAAACUGCUUUUGUACGGGAGCAAUAAGGUCUACGAGUAGAUUGAUGAGAGUACUGUACGAAUAAGCAUCGGCUAACUCCG
rnacentral:rRNA from 1 species